UGCAGCCACCUGAAUCAACUUAUGAUCUUAUGAUCAAAGAUGACCUAGAAAGUUCACAAGCAUUGUCAUGCUUGCAGAUUGAGAUAGUGGUUUAUGCUUGUCAGAGACAUGUCCAGCACCUUCCAGAUGGUGCCAGGGUAGUUUUUCUAUCGGAGAUGGAGCUGGUGUGGGCAAAGGACGAACAAUUGCAGGGUUGAUCUUCGAGAACAUGGGAGGAGGAAAUCAUUGUGGAACUUCAAUUCCAUGGCAGUGUUGAUGUAAACGAGAAGGAUGCAAUAUUCAAUUAUCGAAGGAAAUAUCUUCCUACACAGCAUGCAUGACAAAUUGCAUGCUAUUUGUUCCAAUUCUAAUGGUGUUAGUUUAAAUGCAAGCAUUUUAUAGUUUUGAGGGUGCAUGAAGUUGCCAUUGUUCAUGAGUUAUUGGCUAGAGGUCAUCUGCUUUUAUACUUUUAUUUAGGGUAGUCUUUAGCAUUGCUUUUAUUGAUUUAGUUAGUUAUCUGUUGCGUUGGAUUAUUUAGUACGAUAUGUUUUAUAUACAUGCUGGAAUAUUGAUUUCCUUGCGUUUCUCUAGAUUAGUGGGAUGGAGCAAACCAACUUCUUAUUUCAGCAAGCUUCAAAGAAUGAGUGUGGUGAUAUGCAAGGUUGCUUUUGUUAGUGUCGUCAAAUUGGCAGAUCUAAAGAAGAAUGCUGAUGAACAAGAUUUCUAGGGUGUGAGAAAUAUGAAACAAUUUGAAGAGCAUGUAGGUAAAGGGCCAUCAAGAUGCUAACUGUAAAUUUGACCCUUGUGCGCUAAAGUUUUCCGUUUCUUAAAAAAGAAAAUCAAGUAAUUAGAACAAAUUUAUUAAGUUGAGUUGAGUUUAGCUGGUGAACUUUUUUACUCAUAUAUAUAUAUAUAUAUGGAUGAUAAUUCAUUCUGAAUAAACUGAAUGUUAAGAACCUUAGAAUAUGU